AGUCAGACAUGAUUAGUUAAGUUGCUGGCUGAUAUGGAAUUGGUUACUAAGUUAGGAUAUUGCAUAUAAAGUACUUCUAAAGUUGAGAUUGAUUUGAUGUGGUUUGCAACACUGUAGAGGUGAUGAUAUGAGUUCUAAAAUUGUGUGAGUCCCUGCUGUUUUCAAACCUUUUUCAGAGAGACUACUCUGUUGUUUUGCUUGAGGACAAACAAAAGAGUAAGUUUCGGAGAGUUGAUAUACCAUGGAUUUUAUCCAUUUUUAUCCAUGGUAUAUGUGUGUUUCAGGUUCAUGUACGUUUUGGAGAAAUAUGGUGAUUAUGGGGUCUUUUGGAGCCUUUUGAGGUGUAGACCUCCACAGACGUGUUAGGUGUUUAGAUACGGAUAUAGAAUUUCCCAUGGUGAGAUUGAGCUGAUCGUUUGACAAAAGAUAGAGAUUUUAGUUAGCUUUCUAAUGCCACCGGUUUGAGGUCAAUCCAACGGUUAGAUCAGAAGUUAUGCUCGUUUUACUGAAGAGUGGUCAGUCUGCCUCGCG
rnacentral:lncRNA from 1 species